rnacentral:lncRNA from 9 species
CUUUUCCUUUCUUUUCUUUUCUUGGCCACAUCUGGGGCAUAUGGAAGUUCCCUGGCUAGGGGUUGAAUCAGAGCUAGUGGAAACUACCAUAUUCUACAGGUGCGGCCCUAAAAAAGACCAAAAAAAAAAAAAAUAAUAAUAAUAAAAUAAAUAAAUAAAUGGAGAAAUAGAUAAAUCCAGAAUUGCAUCUUCAGACUUCAAUAUUUAAUCACUCAGCAGUUAACAGAGGAAGACAGAAAAUCCCUAAGGAUAUAGAAGACCUAAAAAAAAAAAACAACAAACUCUACCUAAUGACAAGUAUGUUACACUUCAUCCCUUAAUAGUAGAAUACACGAUGUUUUCAAAUACACAUGAAAUAUUCACAAAGAUCACAAUCUGGGCCAUAAAACGAAUUGUAACACAUUUAAAAUUAUUUAAAUGAUAACAAACUAUGUUUUCUAACCAUAAAGGAAUUAAGCUAGAAAUCAAUAACAAGAAGAAAUUUGGAAAAUGUCCAAAUAUUUGGAAAUAAAGCCACACACUCCUAGACAACCCAUGGGUCAAAGUGGAAAUCCCAGUGGAAAUUAGAAAAUAUUUUGAACUGAAUAAAAAUGAACACAGAGCAUAUCAAAAUUCAUGAGUUGUAGCUAAAGCAGGACCUACAGAGAAAUUUACAGCAUUAAAGACAUUUAUUAGAGAAGGUGAGUGGCUUGGUGGUGGUAGGGUUAGAACAAAACUCCUGAGGAUUUUUAUGAUAUGAUAAUGCUUAUAAUUUCAGGAUUAAAAUAUAUCUUAAUGUUUUUUUUUAUUUGCUUUUUUUUAGGGCUGCACCCACGGCAUAUGAAAGUUCCCAGGCUAGGGGUCAAAUCGGAGCUCUAGCCGGGCUACACCACAGCCACAGCAAUGCCACAUCUGAGCCACGUCUGUGACCUACACCAGAGCUCACGGCAAUGCCAGAUCCUCAACCCACUGAGCAAGACCAGGGAUCAAACCCACAUCCCCAUGGAUACUUGUCAGGUUCAUUACCCUGAGCCACAACAGGAACUCCCUCUUUUAUUUUUGAAAUUACUCUUUUUGGUAAACUAUCAGUUAUUUACCCAAAAUGUAAUCUAAUCUCUUUUUUCUUCCUGUGUACAUGCUAGCCUGAUACCUUUCUCGACUUCUCUGCAGUUAAGUGUGAUCAAAUGAAGUUUUGCCAGUGAU